UCCAUGCAGACCUAGUAACCGCAAGGCGGCGAAAGCAGACAGGAAGGAGAGAAGGAGCAUAUAACCUUCCGAAAGGUAAAUAUAUGCCUUGAUAGGUCCGGGCGGACGCUUCUUGCAUGGCGGUGCUUGAUGGUAAUGCGCCGUUUCAUGCCCGUUGACCUUGCGCUGCGGUUGCAACCAUCUAUCAGCAGUACGGGGCAAGGAGAAAACUAUGACCAGUG
rnacentral:sRNA from 12 species